AUGCCUGUACCAUAACCGACACAGGUGGGUAGGUAGAGUAUACUAAGGGGCGCGAGAUAACUCUCUCUAAGGAACUCGGCAAAAUGACUCCGUAACUUCGGGAGAAGGAGUGCCUUAUUUAUAAGGUUGCAAUAACAAGAUCCAAGCAACUGUUUAUCAAAAACACAGGUCUCCGCUAAGUCGUAAGACGAUGUAUGGGGGCUGACGCCUGCCCAGUGCCAGAAGGUUAAAGAAGUUGGUUAGUGUAUGCGAAGCUGAUGACUGAAGCCCUGGUGAACGGCGGCCGUAACUAUAACGGUCCUAAGGUAGCGAAAUUCCUUGUCGGGUAAGUUCCGACCCGCACGAAAGGCGUAAUGAUUUGGAUACUGUCUCGGAGAGAGGCUCGGUGAAAUAGACUUGUCUGUGAAGAUGCGGACUACCUGCACCAGGACAGAAAGACCCUAUGAAGCUUUACUGUAACUUGAAAUUGGAAUUGGACUUUGCUUGCGCAGUAUAGGUGGGAAGCGUUGAAGAUAUUCUUGCGGGAGUAUUGGAGCUAUCAGUGAGAUACCACUCUUGUAAUGUUAGAUUUCUAACUUUGAACCAUAAUCUGGUCAAAGAACAGUUUCAGGUGGGCAGUUUGACUGGGGCGGUCGCCUCCCAAAUGGUAACGGAGGCGUACAAAGGUUUCCUCUGAACGGAUAGAAAUCGUAUCUAGAGUGUAAAGGCAUUAGGAAGCUUGACUGUGAGACCUACAAGUCGAGCAGGGACGAAAGUCGGUCUUAGUGAUCUGACGGUACUGAGUGGAAAGGCCGUCACUCAACGGAUAAAAGUUACUCUAGGGAUAACAGGCUGAUCUCCCCCAAGAGUUCACAUCGACGGGGAGGUUUGGCACCUCGAUGUCGGCUCAUCGCAUCCUGGGGCGGUAGUACGUCCCAAGGGUUGGGCUGUUCGCCCAUGAAAGCGGUACGCGAGCUGGGUUCAGAACGUCGUGAGACAGUUCGGUCCAUAUCCGGUGUAGGCGUUAGAAUAUUGAGAGGAGCCUUCUUUAGUACGAGAGGACCGAGAAGGACACACCGCUGGUGUACCAGUUAUCGUGCCAACGGUAAACGCUGGGUAGCUAUGUGUGGAGUGGAUAACCGCUGAAAGCAUCUAAGUGGGAAGCCCACCUCAAGAUGAGUGCUCUCACAGGGUUAACCUGGUAAGGUCACGGGAAGACCACCCGUUAAUAGGCACUAGGUGGAAGUCCAGUAAUGGAUGGAGCCAAGGUGUACUAACAGACCGAGGGCUUGAC
rnacentral:rRNA from 1 species